rnacentral:misc_RNA from 1 species
CAUAAUCAAGCAUCCAUUCCUCAGAAUUUUUUCUAUCUUCCAUGGUCUGAUGGCGUAGAUGAAUCUUUUCUGCCUCAGGUUCAAGCUGUACUGGUAGAUGCCGUGGCUUCUGAGGAUUGAAGUUCCUCACUUUUUCCAACGCCUUAACAAAUCUCUUGAGGAUAACUAUCUUUUUCAGAUUACUCCAGCUCUUGGGUGCUUGCUGGUUAGACUUGCUUCCUAUGUUGGAUUGUGUUUUCCCUCCUUCUGGCUCAUUUAUAUUAUAUUCUUUCAGCCCCAUUUCUUCCUGAUCUUGUACGAUGCUUUCUUUACCUGAAUCGAAGGAAGUUGACAUCCUUAGUUCCCCACUUGCACUAUGAAUAUUUUCUCCCUUGUCUGAAAUGCUGUCAUUAUUGAUUGAUUGAUCAUCAGAUGAGUGGUCAGGAAUUUCUGAGAGGAUUUUAUCAAAUGCUUCCUGUACCAACUUAAUGGCAUUGCGUUGGUAAAGCUGAAUCUUAUGGCUGCCUCUAUCAUGAUCAUACACCUCCAUGCCCUGAUCUAUUCCAGAAAAAUGUGAACAAGAAUCUGAAUCGUUCAUUGCAGGCAAGGUGUUUGCAUCUUCCCCUUGUUCUUUCUUAUCCAUUUUAUCAAGAGGUGGCUGCAUUUCAUCGUCUGAAGCAAUACCUGAUACCAUAUGUUGAUAUAUCAGGUUCCACAAUCCCACAUGCUUCUGCUUUUCCAUUUGGGUUUUCUCUACUACCCAAGAGUUGCAAUCACGCUCUGAAUCUGUCACUGGGAACUGAUUGUCUUGCAGAGAAUCUUCAUUCCUUUCCUCAAUCUGAGCAGUUUGUUCACCUAGUUGCUCACAUAUGGAAGCAGAAGAAAUCAUAUCAUUAAUUGCUCUUGAUUCCACAAAUACAUCAGUCGCUAGGCUUCUGGAUUUAUCAACCGGCACUUUAGCUAAACUUGUUGAAGCCGUUGGCCCUGAAGUGUUCAGUUCUGAGUCACCUUUGUAAAUAUCAAAUUUCAAACUUGAAAUUCUGCCUUCAUUGACAUCUUGGUGAACUUUUCCAUCCACUGGAAUUCCCUCAUGGCAGUUGUAAGUAAUGUCAUCAAAGGGCAGCAUAUCGCACCAUUGUCCAGGAUCUUCAACCUUUUGUGAAAUGAUAUUAGUGUGCUCAGGAUGA